CAGAGAUGGAACGUAAGUCACAGAAAAUAGAUGUUGUGGUGGCAGCUGAAGAGAAGUGCUUGGGGGUAUGAGAUUUGACUUCAGAUGAGUUACAGGGUGUGUUGAGUGAUAGUGUCCCGUCCUCUCAGGUCGUUGGCCUGGGGUACGAUCAGAUAUGGUUAUAGUAGUGGAAUAAGGUGAUGGGUUUUAAUGAGUGUAGGGUAUUUAAACAAAUAUAUUAUUUGUCCCUUUUCCCAUUUUGUAUCACAAAGUGUAAUGGAUUUGUACUAUAGUUCAGUUUGGGGCGGUAAUGCAACAUAUUGGAUGCCUACCGCGGUUAAACUUCAUCGAAGAAGAAGGCUUCCCACAUUUGGAGCUGGACGAAUUGGUUAGGCACAUUUACUGUACUUUCUCCUUAACCACGGUCGCUGAAUUCGCUUGUUUACAGAAAACAGACGGAAGACAGUGGACUAGUGCGUCGAACACCUGUGUGUGGAAACGGAAGACGGAAGCCAUAAAAGUGUUGUCACAAAAAAAUGCUGUCGGCUGCAACUGUGUUAAAACCGGGUCAUCCAGUGAAGGUUCUGGGGAAAGGACAAUGACCUCGUUAGUGGCCUAUGAUGAUUCUGACCAGGAGGAGGAUGACGGCGCACUCCCUCCUCUUGCCAUCUCUCCCAUGGAUGAUAUUAGUCAGUCCCAAGGAAACCAGAAAUCGUUGGGUUCUAACUUCUAUGGACCAUUAUUACCCAGUCCCCACUACAAACAACUUGAAAUAGGACUAUGUGAUGGUGGUGAUGGUAGGACAGUGUUCAAACCUCACAGGGAGAUUUAUCCCCCUGCGUUGGGUCGCUCAGGGAUUGUGGAGAACAGCUCAAAUGCAAAACCAUACUCUACUCCACAAUACCAUGACUGUGUUAAUUUGACCACAGUGAAGAGGCAUCAGGCUGCACCACCUGGUGUCAGGCCAUACAUUCCCAAGAGACAGAGGUUGGCCACACCAGGAAAUGGAGAAGAACCAACCUCUUUGGAAACGAACGACAAGUCCACUGUCUCCAGGCUGCUGACCGAGGUCUCUGAGCGGGUGCGUCCGUACCUGGGGCCCAGGCCUGGCAGGGCAGCGGUGCCCAGGCGCAUGCAGCUCAGCCUCCAGGCCCACCAGGCUCCAAUCAACAUGAUCCAGUGGUGCCCAGUGCCCCAGCUCAGCCAUCUCCUACUGUCGGCCUCCAUGGACAAGACAGUUAAGAUUUGGGAUGGUGCAGAGAGUGGGCAGUGCCUGCAGGUAUACUCCUCCCACUCGGGGGCGGUGCGAGAUGCCUGUUGGUCCCCCUGUGGGCGACGCCUCCUCACUGGCUCCUUUGACAACACGGCCAUGGUGACGGACGUGGAGACAGGACAGCAGAUCGUGAAGGUGGGCAACCAGUUCAAGGUGAUGUGCUUGGCAGUGCAGCCCAACGACCCUGAAGUGUUCCUGUGUGGGGGUUACAGCGCAGAGGUCAAGGCCUGGGACGCCCGUACCUGCAAGGUGGAGAGGGUGUACAGGGCAGGGAUCCAGCAGACUCUGGCCAUCUUGUUCCUGACUGGGGGCAGGGAGUUUGUGACCAGCAGUGACUCGGUCAGCCGGGAUUCUGCCGAGCGCACGCUCAUUGCCUGGGACUUCCAAACCACCGCUAAGGUCUCCAAUCAGAUCUACCAUGAGCGGUACACGUGCCCCAGCCUAGCCCUUCACCCCCAGCAGGACUCCUUUGUAGCGCAGACCAAUGGUAACUACAUGGCCCUAUUUUCUGCCCAGCGGCCAUACAGAAUGAACAAGAGGAGGCGGUAUGAAGGACACAAGGUAGAGGGCUACGCGGUGAGGUGUGACUUCUCUCCGGAUGGGUCCAUACUGGCCACGGGCAGCUCCACGGGCUCCGUCCACUUCUACGACCAGCAGAGUGCUCGGACGCUGCACACGCUGCUCGCACACCAGCAGGCAUGCAUGUGUGUGUCUCUGCACCCCGUGCUGCCCGCUGUGGUGGCGACGUGCGACUGGGGUGGCGAGCUCAGGAUCUGGCAGUGAUUGGCACAGAGAAGGGAAAGAAUUAUAACACCCAGACAUUACAAACAUCCAGCCGUCCUUCCGAUCCGAGCUGCCAUAGAGGAAAGAAACUGCUAAGGGAGGUUACCAUGAGGCCAAUUGUGUGGCAACUUACUCUUCAUACUGAAAUUCGCUUCUAUUUGAAGACAUACCUGUUGACCAAACUGCUGGCAGUUGUCCAUUGGUUAGCUUGUAUCCUAACUUCAAUCAAAUGGCUAGGCAAAAAUGUCAAAUGGACUGUAUUUUUUUUUGGUACCAUCGCUUACUCAGGAAUUAGUGUACAGGAUGCUCACUCACAUUGUAAAUGAACGACGUGAUGAACUUGUUAGUCACAGCUAUAAUAAAAGUACCUCAUUUCAUUGUACAACAACCUAUUCUACAUUCAUUGUCAUGCAUUGUACUGUGUGUGGUCUUUGUAGAGGUAAAUCAUUUGCUUUCCUACAGCACCGAGCAAGAUUGCAACAUGAGCUGUGGCAACAAAGGCUUUUUUUAUGGAAAUGUUUGAUUUUAAGUAUGUCACUCCCAAAGGGCUCGACAGGAGUUGUUUAGGCUCCUGUAAUCCUGGAUGGUGGUUGAAAUGCAGUCAGGGCACAUUACAGUGCAGAGGAUCAAAGACAGGUUUUCUUAAUUAACAUUUCAAAGGGUAAACUGUUAAAAGCUUUGGCUUUGUGAGUUUAUUAUUUAUCAUCAGACAGUAGUGGGUAAGGAUGCAGCUCUAGCCUGUCUGUCAUAUUCAGUCACCUGACCUAAUUGCGAAGCCAAGUCAGAAUUACUCUCUAAAUGAAGCAACUUGUAUAUUUCCUCUUCCAAUACAGUCAUUUGGUAAUUAAAUAAACUUUUCAAAGGAAUGUCAAUGCCUGUCACAAUCCAGCCUGUCAAUCAGAAGUAUUCCGAAAGGCCAGAGAUUCUGUACCAGACAUUAUAUUCCCCAUGUAAUGUUAAUG